GGGCCCGCACAAGCAGCGGAGCAUGUGGUUUAAUUCGAAGCAACGCGAAGAACCUUACCUGGACUUGACAUCCCCUGAAUAGUGCAGAGAUGCAUGAAGCCCUUCGGGGCAGGGAGACAGGUGGUGCAUGGUUGUCGUCAGCUCGUGUCGUGAGAUGUUAGGUUAAGUCCUGCAACGAGCGCAACCCCUAUCAUUAGUUGCUACCAUUAAGUUGAGCACUCUAGUGAGACUGCCCGGGUUAACCGGAAGGAAGGUGGGGAUGACGUCAAAUCAUCAUGCCCCUUAUGUCUAGGGCUACACACGUGCUACAAUGGUGAGAACAACGAGAUGCAAUACCGCGAGGUGGAGCCAAACUUGAAAACUCAUCCCGGUUCGGAUUGUAGGCUGAAAUUCGCCUACAUGAAGUUGGAGUUGCUAGUAAUCGCGAAUCAGAAUGUCGCGGUGAAUACGUUCCCGGGCCUUGUACACACCGCCCGUCACACCAUGAGAGCUGGUAACACCCGAAGUCCGUGAGGUAACCUUUAUGGGGCCAGCGGCCGAAGGUGGGAUUAGUGAUUGGGGUGAAGUCGUAACAAGGUAGCCGUAGGAGAACCUGCGGCUGGAUCAC
rnacentral:rRNA from 1 species